UCCUAGCCGUAAACGAUGUCCACUAGGUGUUGGGGGUCCUACCCCCUCAGUGCCGCAGCUAACGCAUUAAGUGGACCACCUGGGGAGUACGCUCGCAAGGGUGAAACUCAAAGGAAUUGACGGGGCCCGCACAAGCGGUGGAGCAUGUGGUUUAAUUCGAUGCAACGCGAAGAACCUUACCUGGGCUUGACAUGCAGACGACAGGUGUAGAGAUACACCCUCCUUCGGGCGUC
rnacentral:rRNA from 1 species